rfam:Triticum aestivum genome assembly, contig: Triticum_aestivum_CS42_TGACv1_scaffold_320276_4BL
GAAAUACUCCCUCCGUUUGGAAAUAGUUGUCAUUAAAAUGGAUGUACCUAGAUGUAUUUUAGUUCUAGAUACAUCCAUUUUGAACACAAGUAAUUCCGAACGGAGGGAGUAUUAU